rnacentral:rRNA from 1 species
AACGAACGCUGGCGGCAUGCCUAACACAUGCAAGUCGAACGAGACCUUCGGGUCUAGUGGCGCACGGGUGCGUAACGCGUGGGAACCUGCCCUUAGGUUCGGAAUAACUCCCCGAAAGGGGUGCUAAUACCGGAUAAUGUCUUCGGACCAAAGAUUUAUCGCCUUUGGAUGUGCCCGCGUUGGAUUAGCUAGUUGGUAGGGUAAAAGCCUACCACGGCGACGAUCCAUAACUGGUCUGAGAGGAUGAUCAGCCACACUGGGACUGAGACACGGCCCAGACUCCUACGGGAGGCAGCAGUGGGGAAUAUUGGACAAUGGGCGAAAGCAUGAUCCAGCAAGGCCGCGUGAGUGAUGAAGGCCUUAGGGUUGUAAAGCUCUUUUAACCGGGAUGAUAAUGACAGUACCGGGAGAAUAAGCUCCGGCUAACUCCGUG